CAGCCGCCGCGGUAAUACGGAGGGCGCGAGCGUUACCCGGAUUUACUGGGCGUAAAGGGCGUGUAGGCGGCCUGGGGCGUCCCAUGUGAAAGGCCACGGCUCAACCGUGGAGGAGCGUGGGAUACGCUCAGGCUAGAGGGUGGGAGAGGGUGGUGGAAUUCCCGGAGUAGCGGUGAAAUGCGCAGAUACCGGGAGGAACGCCGAUGGCGAAGGCAGCCACCUGGUCCACUUCUGACGCUGAGGCGCGAGAGCGUGGGGAGCAAACCGGAUUAGAUACCCGGGUAGUCCCUGUCUCUUAUAC
rnacentral:rRNA from 1 species